rnacentral:tRNA from 1 species
GGUGGUUUCGUAUAGUGGUUAGUACAACACGUUGUGGUUCGUUCCAUCUAAACCGUGUAAACCUGGGUUCGAUUCCCAGAACUGCCA